rnacentral:rRNA from 1 species
GAUGAACGCUGGCGGCGUGCUUAACACAUGCAAGUCGAACGGAAAGGCCCAAGCUUGCUUGGGUACUCGAGUGGCGAACGGGUGAGUAACACGUGGGUGAUCUGCCCUGCACUUCGGGAUAAGCCUGGGAAACUGGGGCUAAUACCGGAUAGGACGAUGGUUUGGAUGCCAUUGUGGAAAGUUUUUUCGUUGUGGGAUGAGCUCGCGGCCUAUCAGCUUGUUGGUGGGGUAUUGGCCUACCAAGGCGUCGACGGGUAGCCGGCCUGUGAGGGUGUACGGCCACAUUGGGACUGAGAUACGGCCCAGACUCCUACGGGAGGCAGAAGUGGGGAAUAUUGCACAAUGGGCGCAAGCCUGAUGCAGCGAGGCCGCGUGGGGGAUGACGGCCUUCGGGUUGUAAACUCCUUUCGCUAGGGACGAAGCGUUUUUGUGACGGUACCUGGAGAAGAAGCACCGGCUAACUACGUG